rnacentral:lncRNA from 1 species
AGUUCCCUCUGUAUGCAGAAUAUUGUGCAACAUGGUUAUGGGUACUACAGUGGAUGUGAGUGUGUAGACCUUGUACAAUAGAGCUUAUAGGCUAAUGAGAAGACAGGAAGAAACAACAGGAACACAUAUAGCUGGAAUGCAGAUGGGAUCUGUGCUACUUACGCUAGCCAUGGGAUGAUUAGAACAAGAUAAGAGACAUGAGGAAGACUUCUUCAAGGAGGUGCUCAAGCCAUGUUUUGGAAAAGAGAACUCAAGGUCUGGCAGGGAGAAAGGAGCAAGAGUAGACUUUGAGUCUUUGCUUCAGAUGCAGAUCAAGAUGUGGCAACCUGUUGUGGAGAACUGGGUCCCUUGAGCCUGUGCUGUCUCUUUUUUUCUGGUGGCUUUGUCAUUUGGAACAAUGCAUAAUGGGCUGGAGGCUGAGAAACUCUGAGCUGAGGUGACACAAGGAUGACAGGAACAGUUAUCAGGGAAGCACACUGAUCGACUGAGCUGCCUGCUCCUGGCCUUCUGGAUCCUCCUCAGUUCCUGCUUAUCUCUAGGCCAGGCUCUCAACUCUGUCAAUUCUGGCAAGUAGAGCUGCAGCUGUCUGGCGCCACUGUAAUGCUGUCUCCUCCUCUGAGUGAGUUCAUCCUGGAAACAUUUUCUCCCAUAAGACAUGCACAGGUCUUACGUUUACAUGUUUCACUGAAAGAAAUUUGAUUCCACUGCUGGGAUGACAAGGAAGACUGAAGAAACCUAAUCCUAGGUGCUGCCACUGGGACAAACAAGAAGCACCAGACACAGUGCUGUUUUAGGGUGGGGCAGAAUUAUGCUGAGGGAAAAGUUAUUAUCACUCUUUAAGGCCAAGGAAACCACAAUUUUUAAAGAAGCUUCUAGAAAUUCUACCCAGUAGAAAAUAAAGAUAAACUUCUGUAAGGAAUUUCAUUCUUUUCAGAAUUCGCAAUCUGAAAUGUAGAAGCCCAUUCCUUCAUGGUUCUCAUAGAUAUUUAGUGUGACUGAGGGGUCAGUGGACUCAUAGCACUCAGGCCAGGCUUCUCCUGAGUCCCUUUCUUUGGCACAGAGGGAGUGAUUCACAGAUCCUCUACCCCCAAAGGCAUUGUUUCCUCAUCUCAACAAGAAUCCAGCACCCGUCAUUUUAUCAGCACACGUCACUAGCUUCUCAAGUGAGACUACUCUGAAGUGAUCUGUGUUUGAAGAAUGCCUUUCCCUUUCCCUUACGUAACUAAGAGGAUGAAAAAGGACACUCACUCCCUAUAUGAAAGCUGUGUAUUGUAAGCAGUCAUCUUGCCUGGCUGAGAACUCUAGGAUCUUUUUCUCUGCUCUCCUUUAGGCUGACACUCAUAGCCAGACCUUCUGUUUAUUAGCCCCCUGAAUCUAUUUGAAAAUAUUUUUGCUUUCAUUAUAAUAUAAGUCACAUUCUUCUUGCAUCUGCCGCUGCAUUUUCCAAAAGGGUUAUGUCAAGGGAAAUUCAACACUCACUUUUCUCAUUAUUUGCUUACCAGCUUGCUCACUCAUCAAAAUACCAGAGUUAUUUGAUACUUCAGAAGAUUAUUUCCCCCUUUAGAUGAUGUGUCAAGGGAAGGGGAGCUGGCCCCAGUAUCAGGUGACAGAAUUUUCUUCGCAUUUCUACUGUUGACUCAAUAAAUGCCCUUGGGCAAGUCA